rnacentral:lncRNA from 1 species
UCUCUGGUUUUUAAAAAAACUAACCCCCUCUUUCUUUGUUUUUCUCUCUGCAGGUGCUGGAAUUCCAACGAGGGCUCCGGCCGGCCACCUCUGCCGUCACCGCGAGCUACUGUCGCCGGCCGCCGUACACGGCGACCGAAAAAAGGUAAUUUUAUUUUUUUUAAAGUAUGUAUACGUAUAUGUUAAAAAAAUGAAUAAAUAAAUAUAGUUAACAAAACGGAAAAAAAGAAAUAGACCUUAGAAAAUAAGGUCUUUGCUUGGUUGCCUGGAUUGUUUGGACUGUUUCGAUGUGCUCUCUUGCACUGUUUUAGUAUUCAAAUACUAAUUUUGUAUUCUCUAUUCGUAGACAAAAAAGGUCCUCUUUACAAUGUUUUUCGAGGGCUUUUAUAGCCCUUUUUACAAAUGUUUUGCUGCUGUACGUUUGUAGGUAUGGCGAGGAUCACGGAGCCCGUAGGUUGCGCGAGUAACGGCGUACGAUACGAAGGUGGGUAGCAGCGUGUGGGAGGGGGCUGCUUCGGGUGUGCAGCGCUGGAGAGAUGUUGCUGCUAGGGUUUUUUCAUUAGGUUUAGGUGGGUUUUGGGGUAUUGGGUUAUUGGGUGUAUUGGGCUUAGAGAUUGGGUUAGGUUUAAUUAGUUAAUUGUUUUGGGUUUUAAAUGUAUUGGGCCCUGGGCAUAAAUUGGGCUUAAGACGAGUAAUGUUAAUAAGAGUUACUGAAAUAAACAAUGUUAUGAUUGUUAUUGAAUGGUGAAAUGAGAUAUAGAUAGAGACACAUGAAUCGAGUAUUUAUGAAUUGAAUAUGAAUGAUCAAUAUUAUGGUUCAAGUAAUAUGUGUUGAUAUUGUGAAAAGCUAUCUAGGAUAGCAAUUGAUAAGAAUUGAAUGAAUUAUAAAUGUUUUGUCUAUAAAUUGAUUAGUAGUGUGAUUAAGGUUUUGUAUGAUUUAAUGUAUAUAUUUAUUUAUUUUACUUUAAAGUAUUCGGAUUAUAGAAAUACCAUUGAAUUUAUACACAGCGACGGUUUUUUUUCGUGCGCAGGAUAGAUAAAGUCAGAUUGCCAAUUCAACAUCCAUCCAAGGUCCCGAACUUAAACGUGGUGAAGUAUAUAUAUAUAUAUUUUGGUAGUGGCAUGUACUUAGGAUGUCUUAUUUUUGUCAUUUUGGGAAAUGAAUGUAAAUGAUAUUAUAAGAUGAUAUUGGUUGCUUAUAUACAAGAUUAUAUGUGUUAUGUUGAGG